rnacentral:rRNA from 1 species
UUCGCGAUAAGGGGGCCCUACCCCUCGGGGAGGGCGCAGAGAAAAGGCUCUGGCGACUGUUUAUCAAAAACACAGCACUGUGCUAACUCGCAAGAGGACGUAUACAGUGUGACGCCUGCCCAAUGCCGGAAUGUCACGGAAGCGGGUUAGCUUCGGCGAAGCUCGUAACCUAAGCACCGGUCAAUGGCGGCCGUAACUAUGACGGUCCUAAGGUAGCGAAGUUCCUUGUCGGGUAAGUUCCGACGCGCAUGAAUGGCGUAACGACUGGAGCACUGUCUCCACUUCCGACUCGGUGAAAUAGUAGUGGCGGUGAAGAUGCCGCCUACCCGCGACAAGACGGAAAGACCCCAUGAACCUUUACUAUAGCUUCACAUUGGUAUUGGGUAAAUGAUGUGUAGGAUAGCUGGGAGGCUUUGAAGCUGCGUCGCUAGGCGUGGUGGAGCCGUUGGUGAAAUACCAGCCUUUAUUUAUCUGAUGCCUAAUCCCGCCAAUGGCGGGAGACAUUGUGUGGUGGGUAGUUUGACUGGGGUGGUCGCCUCCAAAAGAGUAACGGAGGCUUUCAAAGGUACCCUCAGCACGCUUGGUAACCGUGCGUAGAGCGCAAUAGCAUAAGGGUGCUUGACUGUGAGACUAACAAGUCGAUCAGGGUCGAAAGACGGAUAUAGUGAUCCGGUGGUUCUGUAUGGAAGGGCCAUCGCUCAACGGAUAAAAGGUACUCCGGGGAUAACAGGCUGAUACCGCCCAAGAGUUCAUAUCGACGGCGGUGUUUGGCACCUCGAUGUCGGCUCAUCACAUCCUGGGGCUGAAGUCGGUCCCAAGGGUAUGGCUGUUCGCCAUUUAAAGUGGUACGCGAGCUGGGUUUAGAACGUCGUGAGACAGUUCGGUCCCUAUCUGCCGUGGGCGUUUGAGAAUUGAGAGGA